AGCGAACGCUGGCGGCAGGCCUAACACAUGCAAGUCGAACGAAGUCUUCGGACUUAGUGGCGGACGGGUGAGUAACACGUGGGAACGUACCUUUUGGUUCGGAACAACUCAGGGAAACUUGAGCUAAUACCGAAUGUGCCCUUAGGGGGAAAGAUUUAUCGCCAUUAGAGCGGCCCGCGUUAGAUUAGCUAGUUGGUGGGGUAAAGGCCCACCAAGGCUACGAUCUAUAGCUGGUCUGAGAGGAUGAUCAGCCACACUGGGACUGAGACACGGCCCAGACUCCUACGGGAGGCAGCAGUGGGGAAUCUUGCGCAAUGGGCGAAAGCCUGACGCAGCCAUGCCGCGUGAAUGAUGAAGGUCUUAGGAUUGUAAAAUUCUUCCAGUAGGGACGAUAAUGACGGUACCUACAGAAGAAGCCCCGGCUAACUUCGUGCCAGCCGCCGCCGUAA
rnacentral:rRNA from 1 species